rnacentral:rRNA from 1 species
UACAGAGGUUGCGAGCGUUAUCCGGAAUGACUGGGCGUAAAGCGUGUGUAGGCGGCUUUCUAAGUCCCUUGUGAAAUCCCAGGGCUCAACUCUGGACAGGCGGUGGAAACUACCAAGCUGGAGUACGGUAGGGGCAGAGGGAAUUUCCGGUGGAGCGGUGAAAUGCGUAGAGAUCGGAUAGAACACCAACGGCGAAAGCAGCGAAUUGGCGCUAUAUUGACGCUCAGGCACGAAAGCAUGGGGAUCAAACAGG